GACGAACGCUGGCGGCGUGCUUAACACAUGCAAGUCGAACGGAAAGGCCCUGCUCUUGUGGGGUGCACGAGUGGCGAACGGGUGAGUAACACGUGAGUAAACUGCCCUUGACUUUGGGAUAACUUCAGGAAACUGGGGCUAAUACCGGAUAGGAGCUCCUGCUGCAUGGUGGGGGUUGGAAAGUUUCGGCGGUUGGGGCUGGACUCGCGGCUUAUCAGCUUGUUGGUGGGGUAGUGGCUUACCAAGGCUUUGACGGGUAGCCGGCCUGAGAGGGUGACCGGCGACAUUGGGACUGAGAGAGGGCGCAGACUCCUACGGUAGGCAGCAGGGGAGAAUAUUGCACAGUGGGCGGGAGCCUGAGACGGCGACGCCGCGUGCGGGAUGACGGCCUUCGGGGUGUGAACCGCUGUCUCCGGUGACGAGGCGUGAGUGACGGUAAUGAGUAAGAAAGCACCGGCUAACUACGUG
rnacentral:rRNA from 1 species